rnacentral:lncRNA from 1 species
AAAGAAUAAUAACCUCGAGCUUUAAUUGCAACAACAUACAAGAAUACAUAUAUUUCUUACAUAAUGGGAUAGCAAAUAUAAUAAUAUCUCGUACACUCAAAAUUUGAAUCUCAAUUAAUUUGACACGUUAAUAUUGACAGUAAUACAAAAUUAUCAAAUUGAUUAUGAAAUAAAAGUCAACAACUAUCUAGACACUAGUAAUUUGAUAAGUGUCUCCGUCAAUUGCCAUUCAAAAUAAUUUCAUAUGUGUAUAGAUAUUGAUGAAUACAACUUGUUGAAAGUAAUUUUCUAAUGUUUUUUUCAAGUGCAAAUAUUCUAAUGAUUGUCAAAUAUUUAUUAAGG